rnacentral:tmRNA from 1 species
GGGGGCGAAACGGCUUCGACGGGUUCGAGUCAUUGUAUGGAGGCGUGCCGGGUUCCGAGCUCCCGUAAAACGAUCGGAAAACAAUAACUGCCAACAACACGCAGUUUGCUUACGCUGCUUAAUUAAAUAAGUAGCCGCCGCGGUUCUUAGGCUCGCAUGGGGAUCGACUGGCGUCAUAUGGCGGGAUUGGCCCUGGCUUCUGUUCGGAGCGAAAGGCUGAAAACAAUCGGGCUGGGCCGUGGGCGUCUUGCUGGUUCUCCAGUUCACGGCUGAGACAUACGAAUCAGAUACGCACGUAGUCAUCAUACAGUGGGCGUUCUCGGACGCGGGUUCGACUCCCGCCGCCUCCACCA